rnacentral:rRNA from 1 species
AGAGUUUGAUCCUGGCUCAGGACAAACGCUGGCGGCAUGCCUAACACAUGCAAGUCGAACGGACAGAACAGGGAAGCUUUUCGGAGUGGAACUGGAAAGUUAGUGGCGGAUGGGUGAGUAACGCGUGGACAACCUACCUUGUAAAGGGGAAUAACCUCGAGAAAUCGAAGCUAAUACCCCAUAAUAACCUUGCUUCGCAUGAAGUAAGGAGGAAAGGCGGCCUUAGAGCUGUCGAUACAAGAUGGGUCCGCGUCUGAUUAGCUAGUUGGUGAGGUAAAGGCUCACCAAGGCGACGAUCAGUAGCCGGCCUGAGAGGGUGAACGGCCACAUUGGGACUGAGACACGGCCCAAACUCCUACGGGAGGCAGCAGUGGGGAAUCUUCCGCAAUGGGCGAAAGCCUGACGGAGCAAUGCCGCGUGAGUGAAGAAGGCCUUCGGGUUGUAAAACUCUGUCCUUAUCGAAGAGAGAGUGUUGUAGUAACUGACAAUACUAGGACGGUAGAUGAGGAGGAAGCCCCGGCUAACUAUGUGCCAGCAGCCGCGGUAAAACAUAGGGGGCAAGCGUUGUCCGGAAUCACUGGGCGUAAAGGGCGCGCAGGCGGUAAAUUAAGUCAGGUGUGAAAGUUCGGGGCUCAACCCCGUGAUUGCACCUGAUACUGAUAAACUAGAGUGUUGGAGAGGUAAGUGGAAUUCCUAGUGUAGCGGUGGAAUGCGUAGAUAUUAGGAGGAACACCAGUGGCGAAGGCGACUUACUGGCCAAUAACUGACGCUGAGGCGCGAAAGCGUGGGGAGCAAACAGGAUUAGAUACCCUGGUAGUCCACGCCGUAAACGAUGAGUGCUA